ensembl:snRNA LOC120093906 U6 spliceosomal RNA
GUGCUUGCUUCGGCAGCACAUAUACUAAAAUUGGAACGAUACAGAGAAGAUUAGCAUGGCCCCUGCGCAAGGAGAGACUUCCCCCAAAGACUUUCCAAAAGGGUUA